UACGAAGGGGGCUAGCGUUGUUCGGAAUUACUGGGCGUAAAGCGCACGUAGGCGGAUUGUUAAGUUAGGGGUGAAAAUCCCAGGGCUCAACCCUGGAACUGCCUUUAAUACUGGCAAUCUCGAGUCCGAGAGAGGUGAGUGGAAUUCCGAGUGUAGAGGUGAAAUUCGUAGAUAUUCGGAGGAACACCAGUGGCGAAGGCGGCUCACUGGCUCGGUACUGACGCUGAGGUGCGAAAGCGUGGGGAGCAAACAGG
rnacentral:rRNA from 1 species